AUGCAAGUCGAGCGAACUGAUUAAAAGCUUGCUUCUAUGACGUUAGCGGCGGACGGGUGAGUAACACGUGGGCAACCUGCCUGUAAGACUGGGAUAACUUCGGGAAACCGAAGCUAAUACCGGAUAGGAUCUUCUCCUUCAUGGGAGAUGAUUGAAAGAUGGUUUCGGCUAUCACUUACAGAUGGGCCCGCGGUGCAUUAUCUAGUUGGUGAGGUAACGGCUCACCAAGGCGACCAUGCAUAACCAACCUGAGAGGGUGAUCGGCCACACUGGGACUGAUACUCGGCCCAGACUCCUACGGGAGGCAUCAAUAAGGAAUCUUCCGCAAUGGACGAAAGUCUGACGGAGCAACGCCGCGUGAGUGAUGAAAGCUUUCGGGUCGUAAAACUCUGUUGUUAGGGAAUAACAAGUACUAGAGUAACUGCUCGUACCUUGACAGUACCUAACCAGAUAGCCGCGGCUAACUACGUGCCAACAGCCGCGGUAAUACGUAAGUGGCAAGCGUUAUCCGGAAUUAUUGGGCGUAAAGCGCGCGCAUGCGAUUUCUUAACUCUGAUGUGAAAGCCCACGGCUCAUCCGUGAAGGGUCAUUGGAAACUGGGGAACUUGAGUGGAAAUUAGAAAAGCGGAAUUCCACGUGUAGCGGUGAAAUGCGUACAUAUGUGGAGGACACCACUGCUGAACGCAGCCUUUUGCUCUGUAGCUGACGCUGAGGCGCGAAAGCGUGUUGAAGCAAC
rnacentral:rRNA from 1 species